rnacentral:misc_RNA from 1 species
UGCCAGAACCAAAAACAAAUCCAGGAGGAAAGUCCUCUCUGCUAUAUUUAUCAGCACAAAAGACAGCCCCUGCCAAAUUUAGCAAAAUAAUUGGCAGGGAAUAAACCCUUAACAUGAACAUCCUGCCUCACAAGCUUAAUCACUAUGUUAUAGUCCGAAAGAAACAGAGCAAUCCUUCGUUGCUUUCUUCCUAGUUUGGUUUUCCAAUUUGAGUGUUUCAUUUAAUACUGUUAAAUGUGAAUAAUUUGAUCAGUGACAAAGAUGUAAUUUUGAAAAUUAUGCAGGAGCAUAGACGUGCGAACAAUGGAGGAACCAAGACAAAGAAAAUGACCUCGGCCUGUCUGCUCUUUUUGUCAAUAACUUUAGUCUUUUGUGGAUUGAAGUAGACAAUUUGCCGUUUAAUUUAAACAAAAAUUUUAUUUUUUUCUAACUUUUUCUUCUUUGGCAUUUUUCGGGUCUGGUCUGGACAUAAUACACCUGUAUUGUUCAAAAUUUUUAUCAAUUUUUUUUUAAAAAAAUCCCUGGUUUAACGUAAUCAGUGAUCCGAUUCCUACCCAAGCGGCCAAGCCAAUAAGUGAAUAAUUUCAUUAAUCCAAAAGCAAAUGGUUAAUUAGAAUAAAUUAUUUCCAAAAUCCAAAUAUCCACAGACGAAAAUUUGUCUCCUGUCGUUAUAUAUUACACAAAAUAACAGUUUUUAAUUAUUAUUGUGAUAAAAAAUGUAUGACGAAGCUAAAACUUAUGAACUCCCAUUUUCUUUUUCCAAAAUACAGGACCUAAGCAUUAAUUAUGUUAGAAUACAGGGAUGAAAGUGAUACAAUUUAACUCAUUUGUUCAUCAUAACUCGUAAGCAUUGCGGACUCUGAAUGUGUUUUAAAAUACAAGGACACUGUUCUGGUUUCUACAAUCUACUGCAACUGAAAGAAAAAAAUUAUUCUUGGACAGAAGUAAAACGUUUUUGCCAAGUUGGAUAAUCUGAACCAACGCUUCCUCCCUUCAAAAAGUAAGAAUACCACUGAGCAGAGAGCUUUGGGUAUCUCUUCAGUUCUGGGUCAUCUAGAUCUACGUAGUACAAGCCAUAGCUUGAAUUAUAGCCAUACAAUAUUUCAAACAAAUCCAGAAAGGACCAUGUCAAAUACCCUCUUGUGUUUGAUCCAUUCCUUCCAACUUUGAAGUCACACAAAGAGAAGAAAAUUAGAACAAAUGCACAAAAUGAUGCAACAAGAGAAAUUGGAAGAUCCUCCAAUUAAAGGAUAAUUAUCAUUCAUCAUGAAAAUGCCCUAUUUGAUGGUUGGGGGCUUAGGAUCCCACUCGUGUCCACAAAGGUCUGAUUGGCUUUAUUCAUUGGACCAAGUUUUUAUGCUAUGCUUCAAUAUUCUUUUUCUCCCUUGUUUGGAUAUAUACAUGCAAUUUUCAAACCUUUCCAGCCACAAGAUUUUACUAAGACAUAAAAAUAAGAAAGUCACUUCAGGUAGAGGAAGGGAAAAAGAGGGAGGCAGGGCAUACCUGACAGCAUCAAGCAAACUCCCAAUGUCUAAAUGCAUAUAUUUCACCCUAGAACUGUCUUCCAAAAAGAUGUUACGUGGGGUAGGCAGACCCGGCAAGAAAUGCAAUACCAAGUUCACCAAUGACACAAAACUGCAUGAUCAAUGAGAGGUAAAACCAGGUAGUAGGAAUUUCAGGGCAAAAACCAUUCUGGGUUUUCAACACUUCACUGGUUCCACGUUCUACCUAAACUUCAAUUAUCAUGUGAUUAACUUUGGAUAAUGUUUUUCCAAAAAAUAAAAAAUAAAAAACCUUUGGAUAAAUAAUGUUUAGCAUAUGUGUUUCAAUGUUGUAACAAUUCUAUCUUAUCUUACUUCGAGAAAUACUCUACGAAUAGGUUAUGGACCCAUUAAAGCGGGACCUUCUACUUAAGAGAUUUUAGAUCUACCUAUUUUAAAACGAACUUUAAGAUAUUUAAUUAAGUAUUACCGAUAUUAUAGCGAAAGUUUUAUUGUUGACGAUUAAUAAAAUUUGAGAAUUUAUUUCUCUUCCUUUCUUCGAGAAUUUGUUUCUUUAGAGAAUUUGUUUCUUUAGAGAAUUUAUUUCUUUACCUUUUGUGUUCUUGUUCUACAUCCCCAAUAGCUUGAAGCAAGUGGAAUACACCAAGAGUAACCUUUCAUGUUUUGUUACAACUUUCUUGUGAACUUAAAGUAGAAUUUAACAUUGAGUAAUGCUUUGUGUUUUGUUACAACCUUCUUGCAAACUUCCAAUAGAAUUCACAAAAGCAUGCUACCAGAGUAACAAUAUCAAGUAUCAACCAGGAGGAGGGGGAGAGAGAGAGAGAGAGA